CCACUCCUCUUAAUGGACCAACUUCGAGUGCUAGUAUAGAAAAACAACAGACCAGAAAUGAUGAAUAUAACAUCCAACCCACAUUAAUGAAAUGGAAGGCUUCAAAUUUUCCUGCAACAAAACUCAAGAUCGGCUGUUGGGAGAGGAAGUCAAGAAAUGAAGGUGAUAUUGUAGCUAAGUUUUACUAUGCUAGGCGAAAACUUGUUUGGGAGAUACAAGAAGAAAGAUUG